UACAGAGGUCUCGAGCGUUGUUCGGAUUCAUUGGGCGUAAAGGGCGCGUAGGCGGCGUGGUAAGUCUGGUGUGAAAUCUCGGAGCUCAACUCCGAAAUUGCACUGGAUACUGCUCUGCUAGAGGGCUGGAGAGGAGAUCGGAAUUCACGGUGUAGCAGUGAAAUGCGUAGAUAUCGUGAGGAAGACCAGUGGCGAAGGCGGAUCUCUGGACAGCUCCUGACGCUGAGGCGCGAAGGCUAGGGGAGCAAACGGG
rnacentral:rRNA from 1 species